rnacentral:rRNA from 1 species
UGCCAGCAUCAUAUGUUGGCUGUCCAGAUGUGUAAAAUACAUCUGUUAGCAAGGGCCGGGCAAGACCGGUGCCAGCCGCCGCGGUAACACCGGCGGCCCGAGUGGUGAUCGUGAUUAUUGGGUCUAAAGGGUCCGUAGCCGGUUUGGUCAGUCCUCCGGGAAAUCUGACGGCUCAACCGUUAGGCUUUCGGUGGAUACUGCCAGACUUGGAACCGGGAGAGGUAAGAGGUACUACAGGGGUAGGAGUGAAAUCUUGUAAUCCCUGUGAGACCACCUGUGGCGAAGGCGUCUUACCAGAACGGGUUCGACGGUGAGGGACGAAAGCUGGGGGCACGAACCGGAUUAGAUACCCGGGUAGUCCCAGCCGUAAACGAUGCUCGCUAGGUGUCAGGCAUGGCGCGACCGUGUCUGGUGCCGCAGGGAAGCCGUGAAGCGAGCCACCUGGGAAGUACGGCCGCA